rnacentral:rRNA from 1 species
UACGUAGGGGGCAAGCGUUGUCCGGAAUCAUUGGGCGUAAAGCGCGUGUAGGCGGCCAGGUAAGUCCGUUCUGAAAGCCCGGGGCUCAACCCCGGGAGGCGGAUGGAUACUGCUUGGCUCGAGUCCGGAAGAGGCGAGUGGAAUUCCCGGUGUAGCGGUGAAAUGCGCAGAUAUCGGGAGGAACACCAAUGGCGAAGGCAGCUCGCCGGGACGGUACUGACGCUGAGACGCGAAAGCGUGGGGAGCAAACAGG